UACAGAGACUGCAAGCGUUAUUCGGAUUCACUGGGCGUAAAGGGUGCGCAGGCGCCGGGUGUGUGAGGCGUGAAAGCCCGAUGCUUAACAUCGGAAUUGCACCUCAAACUACACGGCUAGAGCAUUGGAGAGGGUAGCGGAAUUCACGGUGUAGCAGUGAAAUGCGUAGAUAUCGUGAGGAACACCAGAGGCGAAGGCGGCUACCUGGACAAUUGCUGACGCUCAGGCACGAAAGCGUGGGGAGCAAAAGG
rnacentral:rRNA from 1 species